AAGUCGUAACAAGGUUUCCGUAGGUGAACCUGCGGAAGGAUCAUUAUCGAGUUCAGAAUGUGGGCUUGAGCUGGCGCCUCGGCGCAAGUGCUCGGCCCCGCUCAUCCACUCAACCCUGUGCACUUUAGAGGUGUGGUCCCCCGCUCAUGGAGGCCGCCGGUCGGCGAGCUGGCUGGGAUGCGCGCUUCGACCUUCACACAAACCACUCAAAGUAUAGUGAACGUGAAUCGCGUUAGCGAUGAAACUUAAUACAA
rnacentral:misc_RNA from 1 species